rnacentral:rRNA from 1 species
GAUGAACGCUAGCGGCAGGCUUAAUACAUGCAAGUCGUGGGGCAGCAGGUCUGUAGCAAUACAGAUGCUGGCGACCGGCAAACGGGUGCGGAACACGUACACAACCUUCCCUUAAGUGGGGAAUAGCCCAGAGAAAUUUGGAUUAAUACCCCGUAACAUAAUGAAGUGGCAUCACUUUAUUAUUAUAGCUCCGGCGCUUAAAGAUGGGUGUGCGGCUGAUUAGAUAGUUGGCGGGGUAACGGCACACCAAGUCGACGAUCAGUAACUGGUGUGAGAGCACGACCAGUCACACGGGCACUGAGAGACGGGCCCGACUCCUACGGGAGGCAGCAGUAAGGAAUAUUGGUCAAUGGACGCAAGUCUGAACCAGCCAUGCCGCGUGGAGGAUGAAGGUCCUCUGGAUUGUAAACUUCUUAUAUUUGGGAAGAAGUCUAUCUUUUCUUGGAUAGUUGACGGUACCAGAUGAAUAAGCACCGGCUAACUCCGUGCCAGCCGCCGCGGUAAAAC